CACGUUGACCGACGGGGCUCGCUCCGGAGGCGGAAGUAGGGAUCAACCGGGUUCUCCCGUUCCCCGAAGCAACGCGCC
rnacentral:ncRNA from 17 species